UUCGGGGAACGAUAACGGCGUCGAGCGGCGGACGGGUGAGUAAUGCCUAGGAAAUUGCCCUGAUGUGGGGGAUAACCAUUGGAAACGAUGGCUAAUACCGCAUGAUGCCUACGGGCCAAAGAGGGGGACCUUCGGGCCUCUCGCGUCAGGAUAUGCCUAGGUGGGAUUAGCUAGUUGGUGAGGUAAGGGCUCACCAAGGCGACGAUCCCUAGCUGGUCUGAGAGGAUGAUCAGCCACACUGGAACUGAG
rnacentral:rRNA from 1 species